rnacentral:rRNA from 1 species
AUGCCGCGCGCCACCCAAGCCACUCACUGCUUCCGCCACCCUCCAUCGCCGAGCUUGGCCCGGCCUCAGACAUGGCGCUCGGCCGCCCCUUGUCCCGCCUGCGCCGGCGACCAACAGCAGGUCGCUGCUCCGCACCGUCUGUGUCUUCUCCGUCGCUGGACUGCUGCCUCCGCCGCGCCCUUCCAUCCUUUCGUCUCCCUGGUGGCCGGACGCCUCGACCUCCUCUGCAAGGACAAGCCGCCGCCACGGCAAGUCCCCUGCUCCGGCAUCCUACACCUCCCCUUGCCAGAUCCGUGCCUCUCCGCCAUUCCUCAUCGUCCCGACGCCCCUCGCCUCAUCGAGCGACCUGGUCAUCUCCCGUUGUCGCCAUCCUCCUGCCAUGGCGCGGUUGUGCCCGAAGAGUCACCCGUGCCGUCCACAUUGAGCAGCCGCUCGAUCGCCUGCGUUGACUGCUCGUGCCGCGUCACCCCAUGGGCCACUACUUCACGGGCAGCCCUAGGCCCCAUGGCCACCACCGAGACCCUCAAAUCCUGUACCCGGAGCCCAAGUCUGAAGACUGCGUGGAUGUGCAUCUCACUUGUGCCACGUUGGAUCGUCAAGACCAUUUCGGGAUUCGCCAAGUAUCACUACGCCCGGAGACCACGGAUCUGUGAAAUUCCACUACCGUCGCCGUGGAUCAGACAAGUUCGCGAGUAUGACUACUUCCCACGACGACCUUGUACCACUAUCGUCGCAAUACUGCGAGUACCUCUACCGUCAUCAUGUACCACUACUUCCCUCAACGAACUUGAUCCGUUUUGA